AGUGGAGUAGCUGGUCGUGGUGGCACACACCUUUAAUCCCUGCACUCGGAAGGCAGGGGCAGGCAGAUUUCUGAGUUUGAGGCCAGCCUGGUCCAGGACAGCCAGGGCUACACAGAGAAAACCUGUCUUGAAAAACCAAAAAAAAAAAAAAAACAGUGGAGUAAAUCAUCUUGUUCAGGUUUGUAGCUAAAAGGAGCUGAGAGAGAAGAGGGAAAACAGAGAGAAGCCUUGGAGCAGAGGGAGUACAACAGGAAAGGCUUUGCCCACCUCUGGAGUGGUGUCCAUAGCCAACAGUGAGACUUAAAAUGGCCAUGUUGAAGGAACCGUGUCAUUGGAGGUGGGCUUUAAGAAUGUAAGGACUCGGUCUCUCACUGCAGCAACGCAAGCGCGAGCUCGGAAAGAGAAUCCACGUGUUGUAAGAAAAUGGCAGACAAGGCAGACAUGCGGGAAAUCGCCAGCUUCGAUAAGGCCAAGCUGAAGAAAACCGAGACGCAGGAGAAUAACACCCUGCCGACCAAAGAGACCAUCGAACAGGUAAGGACGAGUGAAAUCUCCUAAAAAGCC
rnacentral:lncRNA from 1 species